GGCCUAGAGGUGUAGACACCGCAAGUAACUGCAAUUCGAAUAAGGCAUAAGUCAUAUUUUUUGAAGCAUGGACAUUACCUUAAUUGCUCAAAAUAUUUCUCUUUUGCUGCCUGAUCUUAUUGCUCUCCUGUCAGAGAUAAUAUCUGUGGGCCCAGAUGAUACCAAUUUGCUUAAACAAGUUUGUAUUUUUAAGACCAGGUUUCUGGCUCUUAGUUUGGCUUUAGAAAAACUUCCAGGAGCAGAGCUAACGUCCUAUAGGCAAGUUGAAAAGUAUGACGAACUCAAGUUACAGCUCCAAACCCUCAACGAUACCAUAAAGGAAUACGUCAAAGACCUGCCAUUCGACAUCAAUUUAGAAGCAAGCGACGUUGACAAAGAUAGAACUCAGAUAUGACGUUAACCGAGUCAAGACAAGGGACGGUGGUCGGCUUGCAUUAAAAACUGCGUAUUUAAUGUCACGAAGCGCAAGGCAUUAUAAAGGUCAAUACAAACAAACAUCUAGAGUGCGGCUUUUCUAGCGCCAUAGUCAACAAUCUCAAGUUUCUGCCAAUAUAUAAA